GAUAGAGGUGCCAAGCGUUAGGCGGAAUCACUGGGCUUAAAGCGUGUGUAGGCGGAAUUCUAAGUACCUUGUGAAAUCCCACAGCUCAACUGUGGAACUGCUUGGUAUACUGGUUUUCUUGAGCCACUUAGGGGCUGUCGGAACAAGCGGUGGAGCGGUGAAAUGCGUAGAUAUCAGGAGGAACACCGGUGGCGAAGGCGGUGGUCUGGGCCGGCACUGACGCUGAGGAGCGAAAGCGUGGGUAGCAAACAGG
rnacentral:rRNA from 1 species